rnacentral:rRNA from 1 species
UGGGGAAUAUUGCACAAUGGGGGAAACCCUGAUGCAGCGACGCCGCGUGAGCGAAGAAGUAUUUCGGUAUGUAAAGCUCUAUCAGCAGGGGAAGUAAAUUGACGGUACCUGAGUAAGAAGCUCCGGCUAAAUACGUGCC